rnacentral:rRNA from 1 species
CAGUAGCCGCGGUAAUACGAAGGGGGCUAGCGUUGUUCGGAAUUACUGGGCGUAAAGCGCGUGUAGGCGGGCUUUUAAGUCAGGGGUGAAAUGCCAAGGCUCAACCUUGGAACUGCCUUUGAUACUGGAAGUCUUGAGUCCGGGAGAGGUGAGUGGAACUGCGAGUGUAGAGGUGAAAUUCGUAGAUAUUCGCAAGAACACCAGUGGCGAAGGCGGCUCACUGGCCCGGAACUGACGCUGAGACGCGAAAGCGUGGGGAGCAAACAGGAUUAGAUACCCGAGUAGUCCCUGUCUCUUAUAC